UUUCUUUGUUCCCAUUUCUAAAGGGACAUUUUUUAUGCGGAUGUUUUCUUUGUUAGGAAACUCCUGCGAUUCGUGCAUGACUUUAUUCAAAAAUGUCUCAAAUAUGUUUCCCGUACUACUGAUUGUGAGUUACAGCUGAAAAACAGAGUAAAGGCGAAAAAGGGAGACACUAUGAGAGAUGGAGAUACAUGGAAUGGAAUGCAUGCAAAUUGGACAUUGCACUGAUGAGCGAUGUGUCUCUGGCACGGUCGCUGUUGGACUUUCUGCCUCGUCUGCUUCGGCAGUAGCUUGUUUAAUUGCAACUAAAAGCGGAAGGCAACAGCAGGCGGAGGAGGAGCAGGAGCGGGAGCAGUGGAGCGGAGCGGAGGAACCAACGUUGACUGCUCCCCUGAACUGUGUCAAAAACAAGGGCCAGAACAGCAGGGCAGCAGUAAAAAAUAUACGGAACGAGACUAAAGAUUCACACACAAGUUUGUUGUUUAGUUCUGUUUGGUUUUUUGUUUGUUUGUUUGUUUGUCCAUCUGUGCAGGUGUGCGUGUGUUUCUGUUUCUGUUUGUUCGCUGCCCGUUGCUUCCUGCAAUUUGCGCUCUGGCAAAGCUUCCUUUUUAAGCCCGUGCCACGGACCAGGAGCUGGAGCAGGAGCCGGUGCCGCAGGUGUUGGACUGAAGCGGCAGCGGCAGCAUCGGGAUCAGCGGAGGUGAGAAACAGUGUUCCAAAAGCACUUUUUAAAGUCCCAAGAUAUUGUUAUUACCAGAGGAUUUGAAUCCGCCACACUAGACGUGAACCACUGUGCACUGGCGUAGACGGUGACUGCGGCGGCGGCAACAUCCUCUGCUAUCUGCUUGCUGCAGCCGAACAGUCGGCGCGAGAGGUGCUCGGAAGAGGAGGAGGAGAAGAGAAGAGUGGAGAACGGAUGGGUGGGUGGGUGUUGGGUUGGGACAAACAGAAACCGACGCGGCUUUCCUUUCUGACACACCAUUUUGCAUGUUGCAUGAAGCUGCCAUGUGUGUGUGCGUGUCUUCUUCUAUCCCACUCUGUAUCCCUCCUUCUCUCUCUCGCUCUGUGUGCAUGGCGCAUAUGUCACUUGUCUAAAUAGCAGCGACACCGUUCACCUGUAUCAGUGUGUGUGUGUGUGUAGUGUGCUUGGAACUGCCCGACGCACAGUGGUCUCCACUCAAGUACAUUGAUCGGAGCCUUCAGGGAAUACCCAAUCCAAUAAUUAUAGGAUUUUGCUUUGCAGCUUAUAGAUUUCCUAAAUUAUAAUAAAUAAAAAUACCACUUUUUCGGAAAAAA